GUACUUUCCUGGCCGAGGACAUAGCAUACCAUGGUCAUGUGACUGCUUUUCCCAGGGUGAGGCUCAUCCAUUGCAUUCCUCAUGUGCUGAUCCCAGGAUUUCCCCAAACAUAGGGCCCUCAACUACUUAAUUUAUGAUGUGGGGCUAGUGGGUGGGGGAGGUGCAGACUAUAUUCAAGCUCUCCCUUA
rnacentral:snRNA from 11 species